CCUACGGGUGGCAGCAGUGAGGAAUAUUGGUCAAUGGGCGGGAGCCUGAACCAGCCAAGCCGCGUGAGGGAAGAAGGUACAGCGUAUUGUAAACUUCUUUUGUCAGGGAACAAAGGCAGGGACUAGUCCCUGGCUGAGGGUACCUGAAGAAAAAGCAUCGGCUAACUCCGUGCCAGCAGCCGCGGUAAUACGGAGGAUGCGAGCGUUAUCCGGAUUUAUUGGGUUUAAAGGGUGCGUAGGCGGCCUGUUAAGUCAGCGGUAAAAGCCCGGGGCUCAACCCCGGAGAGCCGUUGAAACUGGCGGGCUGGAGUUGGCGAGAGGUACGCGGAAUGCGCGGUGUAGCGGUGAAAUGCUUAGAGAUCGCGCAGAACCCCGAUUGCGAAGGCAGCGUACCGGCUCCACACUGACGCUGAGGCACGAAAGCGUGGGUAUCGAACAGGAUUAGAUACCCGAGUAGUC
rnacentral:rRNA from 1 species